ACCUAUGCCGAGAAGGUGGGCUGCCGAGGCGGUGCUACACGAUGCCGCAGGGAGGAGAAAGAGGAGAAAGAAUGAGGAAGAAGAGUAAGAAAUAAAAAUAGUGUAAAUUGAAGGAAGAAGAAGAAAAAAAAUAGUGUAAAUUUCACCUAAAUUGUCACGCCCCGAAAGCGAUACCAAUUUGGUUCGGCCCGGGCGCGUCGAACAGACGCCGAACGGACAGGACCUCCCCUGUCCGUCCAAGGCUAACCAACAGAUCGUGCAUAAGAAUUUACCCAGGAAUCAAUUCAUAAAUACACGAUCAAUAAGCACCACUAGUGCUAUAAACAAGAGCAAGAUACAAGUAUAGAAACAUAUACAAGUACAUAAGAGAGAAGAGACUAUCUAUUACAUUCAUUUGAUUUACUACAUUUAGAUACAUCUUUUACAUUCUUCCAAAAUAUAAAUACAAGCACUCAACCCUCACCCUAUACAACAUCUACUCUCAAAUACAAAAGGGGUGACGGCUAAUGCAAGAAAAGGAGGUAGCUAAUGCGACUAGAACGCCGGGCCCUUACCGCGAUCCUCACGCUCACCGGGGACGCCCGAACUGGAACCUGUGGUAAAAUGGGGGUGAGAACUAACUUCCUUAGUUCCCAGUGGGUUCGGCCGCCGACUCCGCCGAUCUCCCCACUAGGUCCAAGCGGGCAUAAGUAGACAAUCGAUAGAUAGGUAGAUAGAUAAGGAAAGCUGUAAAUGGCGGAAAUGAAGCUACGCUACCAUGCCCAAUCAUAAGUAUAUGAAUGCAUGUCCAAUGAAAUAGGUAAGCAACUAAUCUGUUAUCAUGUCCAAGGGUGAAGCUAUUCACUCGUUCAUUAACCUCAUUUACUUGUUCAUUAAUCUCAUGGCUUACCCGAAGGCUCGCCUACAGCUCACUAGCCAUCUCGACACGUAGGGAGAAUCAACUCACACUACGGACCCGAGACCGUCUGGCGGGGCCAUAUAGGCAAUCCCUGGCGUGACCAACAUCCGGAGCGCACUACUUGUGUGGGGCUUCCAUCACAAGAUUUAACAGACCGUGAGCAUGAUCCAAUCCUCUAAGCUCGAGGAUACCCUGUCCUCUAGAGUCACAAUCAUCAUAUAGUCCAUAGGUGUCGCAUACACUAUUAACUAGAUUGUCCGUUUGUCCGCUAUCGACUAGAUGCCACUCGUUCAUAGUUUACUAUUAACUAGAUGCCACUCGUUCAUAGUUCAUCAUUUUCUCUACAUCAUAGGAUUCACAAUCUCGACCCAAUCCUUAUCAAUCCAAUAUAUCAAUUAUCCGAUGUACGCUACGAUACCAUGAAGGAAAAACAUAAGGAAAGGCAAUGCAUACUAAUCCUAUAAUGCAAUAAUACAAGAUGCAAGAUCAAAUAUACUAAGACAUAGGAGGGAGCCCGAUUGCUUCGGGAUGGACACCACCCACCUCUUGGCGAUGCCGUGAUAGUAGAAAACUCGACGUUGGGGUUCUUGUACGCCGCUUCAACUCCUCGGGGCGAAGCGAGCCCUCGAGUACCCGAUUCGGCGAUUUCUCCGCACCCGCUCGUCGGAUCGAGAAACCGACUUCGCCGACGCGUUCCGGGACCUAGCAAUUAGGUUUGCGACCUAUUAGAUUAGAUCAAAACCCUAGAUUUACCAAAAACCCAAUUCCGUGCCCUAGGAUGGCAACGGGGAAGAAAUCCGUGGUGCGAGCUUCAAUUGCGAGCUCGAACCUUCUCCCUAGUUCCAUUAGGUCCCAUUCAAACCAUAAAAACCCCAAAACCCUAGAAACACCAUUAAAGGGUUUAGAGCUUACCCCUACACAAGGUUCCUUCAAGCUUGAGGGAGAGGGAGAGAAGAAGAUAUCUUCUUCUUCUUCUUCUUCUUAGUCUUCUCUUUCUCUUUCUUCUUCUUUCUCUUCUUCUUCUCCUUCCUCUUCUUCUUCUCCUUCUUCUCUUUCUUUUCUUUUCUUUCCUAGAGAGAGGAGAAUAGUGAGAGAGAGAGAGAGGAAGAGAGCAACUGAGGGAGAGAGAGGGGUCCCCAAGCCCUAUUAAAGGCCAUUUUGCAACUAGCCCCCUCAACUUUUCAUCUUUAGAAUCAGCCCUCAUUGGGCAUUUUCGCAGUGAGGGACCGGUCUCCCCGACUUGGGACCGGUCCCCGAAGGCUGCCAUUUCGAGCAGAGGGGUUUUCGCGUUCGGGAACCGGUCCUUGCCUGAGAGACCGAUCCCCGGGAGACCGGUCCUAGUCCGAGAGAUCGGUUCCCGAAAGCUGAGUUUUCGGGACUUAGCCAAAUUUCGGCUAUUUUCGCUGGGCCAACGUUCGGGAACCGGUCCCUGCCUGCCAGGGACCGGUCUCAUCAUAGACCUCCGCAGCCCAGCCUGAUGGGACCGGUCCCUCCCUGCCAGGGACCGGUCCCCGAGAGCAUUUCUGCUCCAGUGCAAGUUUUGCAUUGGUGCUCUCGCGGACCUUUCCUUAAUGCACUUUAUGCACUAUAAUCACCUUCGCACUUUCCGAAGCUUACGCACUCGACAACUAGUCGAUUCUAAUCGAAGUCUAAUCCUCGAGUUUCGAGAAUUCACUUCCUUACAUCCUUCCCACCUUAAAAGAGUUUCGUCCUCGAAACGAACUCAAUACUACAAAAACUUAAUUAGAAUUUCAAAUUCUAAGCUCAUACCUCGAUUUAGCCUUCGAAUAGGCGAUGAUGAUUCGCCUUCAUCUCCUCCUCAAGCUCCCAGGUGGCUUCGCGAUCAUCAUGAUUGCUCCACCGGACUCGGACAUAAGGAAUUUCUCGAUUCCUUAGCUUGUGCACUUCACGAGCGGUAAUCGCCACCGGAAAUUCCUCGUAGCUCAAGUCCUCCUGAAGUUCCGGCGGCUCGUACAACAUUGCGUGCUCGGGAUCAGGUAUGUACUUGCGCAAAUUGGAGACGUGGAAUACGUUGUGCACAUCUGCAAGCUUUGGCGGCAACGCGAGCCGAUAAGCCACCGUCCCAAUCCGCUCCAAGAUCUCGUAGGGGCCAAUGUAUCGGGGACUUAAUUUUCCCCGAACUCCAAAUCGUUUUACACCCCUCAUAGGCGAGACCUUUAAGAAGACGCGGUCGCCCACCGCAAACUCUAGAUCCCGUCGGCGCCUGUCCGCAUAGCUCUGUUGUCGAGAUUGCGCCGUGAGUAACCGCUUGCGAGCAAGGCGGACCUUUUCUUCCGCUUCCCGCAGCACAUCGGGGCCAAAUUCCGUGCGCUCGCCCACGUCACUCCAAUAAAUGGGAGAGCGGCACUUCCGCCCAUAAAGAGCUUCGAACGGUGCCAUCUCCACACUAGCGUGAUAACUGUUGUUGUAGGCGAACUCGACCAUUGGCAAAUACUUACACCAACCUCCUUUGUAAUCGAUGACACACACUCGCAACAUAUUCUCCAGAGUCUGAAUGGUUCUUUCAGUUUGUCCGUCUGUCUGGGGAUGAAAUGCAGUACUGAAAUUGAGCCGCGUGCCAAGGGCCUCCUGCAGGCUUUUCCAGAAAUGUGAGGUAAACUUGGGGUCUCUAUCCGACACAAUCGACUUUGGUACCCCGUGUAACCUCACUACUUCGUCGAGAUAUACCUGUGCCAACUUAUCUCCCGCCCAGGUGGUGUGGACCGGCAAAAAAUGCGCUGACUUCGUCAAGCGAUCCACAAUCACCCAGAUUGCGUCAUGGCCCCCCGUUGAGCGAGGUAAGCCAACGAUGAAGUCCAUAGAUAUGUCCUCCCAUUUUCAGACGGGAAUAGGUAGGCUUUGAAGCUUUCCCGCUGGAAACCGGCGCUCCACCUUUACUUGCUGACAAGUCAAACACUUCGUCACGAAGCGCCCAAUAUCAGCUUUCAUCCCCGGCCACCAUAGAGUGCUUUCAACUCAUGAUACAUCUUGGUGCCGCCUGGGUGAUCCGCGUAUGGAGACCGGUGGGCUUCCUGCAAGAUCAGCUAGGGAAGCUCUUCAUUCUCGGGCAUGCACCAUCGGUUUCGAAACCGAAGCGCGCCACCGGCGUCCACACUAAAAUUGCCAUCUCGUCCUUCCUCGAUAUUGCGCCGCACUCUUUGGAGACUCGGAUCUGCAAGUUGCAAUUUCUUGAUCCUCUCCAAUAAUGUUGGUUGAAUAAUGAGCGCCAUCAACUGAGCCGGGACCUCGGGAGCGACCACUUCGAGGUCCAAUCGCUCCAUCUCCAGCCCUAGGGGCGCUUGCCGGGUAACAUCAAAGGCGAGGUUCUUCGCCGACUUUCUGCUAAGUGCCUCCGCGACCACAUUUGCUUUGCCGGGGUGGUAGAGAAUGUCAACGUCAUAAUCAAGUCUAUAACGAACUCGAUCUCCUGAUCCGGCGGCAUCCCCGCUAGCUCCGCGAGAAAUACAUCCAGGAAUUCCCGCACCACCGAUAGUUCCUCCAACUUCGGAGCUACUCGGUCCACUUCCACGACGGUCGCCAAAAAUGCUACGCAGCCGCCGUUAACCAACUUCCUAGCUCUCGUCGCUGAUACUGUCGCGACGAAGCAAGAACUCCGACAAGCUCGAUAAACGAACUCCCUCUGUCCUGGCUCCCGAAAGGUGAUUGAUUUAUUCUUACAAUCGAUCGUGGCGUAAUACCUUGAGAGCCAGUCCAUGCCCAAAAUGACGUCAUACGCCUCUAGUUUAGUAAGUUCCAACAUCCGGAUGGGCAUUAUCCAGUCACCCACUUGCACCGGACAUAACGAGCACUCCGUAUAGGUAUUAAAUGACGACUCGGGACCCUCGACUCGCCACUUGCCACUUGCUUCUAUAGGUAUGUCAUGCAUGCGUGCAAAUGCUCUACUAAUAAAUGAAUGUGUGGCACCCGUGUCGAACAUAGCUCUGGAGCGAACUCCAUUGAUUAGAACUAUACCUGCCACAACAUCAGGCUCCUCGGCUUGGGCAGGCUCCUCGGCAUGGGCCUGAGCGGCGAAUACCCGUCCGCUCGGCGCUGAUCGAGUCAUCUCCGGCUGGUGCGGCGCCAAUGCGCGUCCCGCCGAUACAGGAACAUACGGGGCCCCUCCUUGAUAGGGCGAGGGCGCUGGAGCCGACGCGACUGACGGAGUAGACGAGGCCCUUGCCGGACAGUCGCGGCUGAUGUGUCCUUCUUGUCCACAAUUAAAGCACCUUCCCUGUCGUUGUCUACACUGCGGUGCCCGAUGGCCUCGAUCUCCACAGAUAGGGCAACGCUGCGGCCCACGGCCCCACGACUGCGACCGCGGAUACUUCGGGGGCCUCCUCGAACUCGAUUGUCCCCCCGAACCGCCGCCCGAUCGCUUCUUCCCCUUGUCCUGGGAUCCGGCCAACAACUCACGUUCCUCUCGCACGCGGGCAUCUCCAUGCUCUGCCCAUAGCGCCUUAUUGAAGACCUCGGCGAAAGUCGUGAGCUGGAACAAUUGCACCGCUCUAUAUAUCCACGGCCGAAGUCCUUGCAAGAACCAUUCGGCCCGCUCCGCGUCAUCCUUAACCACGUCCGGGACGCAGUCUAUAAUGUGGGAGAACUCCUGUUCGUAGUCCGCCACCGGACGAUCCCCCUGUCUCAAUUUUCAAAACCUCUCCUUUAGCUUUCGCUUCUCGGUGUCGGGGAAAUAAUUUCCAAACAUCUCCUUCUUAAACUCCUCCCAGAGCAUCGGUGGAAGGUCACAGGGUCGAUCCCGCUUCAACCGCUUCCACCACACCUUCGCCGCCUUUUCGAGGCAAUGGGUGGCGAGGGGCACCUUAUCCUUCUCCGGGGUGUAUAGGUCCUCGAAGAGAGUCUCCAUAGAGUCUAUCCAAGACUCCACCACCGACGGCUCCACAUUUCCCCCUUCAAAAGUUGGUGGCUUAAACUUCAUAAACCUUAUUAGAGUCGUUAGCGCACGCUCCCGCUCCACUUCGUCGGCCGUCGUAUCGAGUGCCGCCGAACCCGAAGCUGUCGGAGGAGCACUUGUCGGCGGGGGAACUGCCGCCAUCGGAACUGCCGCUAUGCCCUCACCCUCGGUCGCUACCGGCGUGCGUGCCGAAGGUGCGGGCGGAUCGCGAUCUCCUGCCGCCGUCGCGGCCGCCGCCGCUGCCGCUUGCCGCUCCACAACUUCCUGGAGCUGCUCGAACCGAGCCUCCUGGCGCUGCAUCGCGCCCAACAUCGCAGCGACCUGCUCUCGCAGCUCCUGCACUUCCUCCGAUCUCGGCUGCUCGGGCUCCGCAGAAGGCGGUACCGGAGCAGACCUACGCACAUAACGCCUUGGGGACAUUUGCUCCUGAAAAGCAACAACUCAAUUAGUUAUCUUAAUCCGGUAACUUCCUCAACGUUCACGAAACUAAACGUCCCGACAACGAAAUCGGGCGGAAGCUCACAAGUGCUCUAGUGUUGGACUCUUAGUGUUGCGUCGUCGGCCGCCGACACAACCACUACAAGCCAGGAACUAGUGUCACUUGGAUUCGUCUCUAUUCACAGCUAGAGACACAACACCAACUUCGACCCAAUCAAUCAACUUCCGCCAUCGCCAUGGGUCACGUUCACUCACGUCCCUAUAACCUUAGGGUUUACCAACCUAGGGUCUCCUAGGUCAUCCUAGACACUCUCUUUACUUGCUCUGGUGCUCUGAUACCACUUUAUCUGUCACGCCCUGAAAGCGAUACCAAUUUGGUUCGGCCCGGGCGCGUCGAACAGACGCCGAACGGACAGGACCUCCCCUGUCCGUCCAAGGCUAACCAACAGAUCGUGUAUAAGAAUUUACCCAGGAAUCAAUUCAUAAAUACACGAUC
rnacentral:lncRNA from 1 species